rnacentral:lncRNA from 1 species
CAGAUGUCAUGAUUGAAGCAGCAGAGUUGAAGCCUCAAAAAUAAGGGCCAUGGAUAAUUGAGAGACCUCAGAAAAGAACCUAGGCACAGAGAGAUUCGGUUAAUUUGCCUAAUGUCACACAGCUGCUAACAGGUAAAGACAGUGUUUGAGCCAAGUCAUUAUGACUCUGGAGACUGAGUUUUAGCAGAAAUAGAACGUUGCUGACCAGAGGGGAUGUGUCUUUGGGGAAAGGAUGGUGUCAGAAUUGGAACAUGAAGUAGAACUUCCAGUAACCCCUAGGAGCAUCAAGUGACCCAGAGAGGUAACCCCCUCCACCAGGGUCCAUUGCAUCCAUUGCUCUCUCACAGCAACUGAGGCUCAUGGGACUGGAGUGGAGUCGGUAGGAAGGAACAGUCUUUGAAGUUAGAUGCGCCAGGUUGUAACCCCACUUCCACCAAUUCACAACAUCCCUGUAAGAUGUACAGGACAGAUAUGCAUAUCUUCCCAAGACUGCUGAAGAAACCCAAACCCCAGUGGUAAUGACGACGUCAGGACAGGUUCAAAGGAAGCCCAUCACUUGAGUAAAAAUUUAUAGCCCUGCUUGUGCUGUGCUGUGCUGUGCUGUGAGUUUCAGUUCCGGGCCAGCAAAAGAUUUAUCAAAGGAAAGCAACAAGGGGAGAGCUACUCAGGAAAGCUGAUGGUGAUGAUUGAUAUUAACUGAUGAACUUUCAUGAGCAGUAAAGUUCAGUAAUGCUAAGAACUUAGAUGUCAUUGCUAUUUUGUAGCGAAGAGGAAAUUUGGACACAGACUGGUACAGAAGGAAGACCAUGUGAAAACACAAGAUGUCAAAGCAGGUAAGAAAAAUUAAUUUCAGAGAGGAAAAUAAAGUUGCUUGAGGGGCUCUUCAAUGACCAAAGGCCAUAAGAGACUGGAAGGCAAAAGGACCCAUUAAUGUAAUCCAAACAUCAGUCUCCUGCAGCAAAGAGGUGAAUGGAGAAGGGUGGAGAGUAGCUGUGGACGAGUGAAAAAGACAUCGCACCAUGUCUUCAAAUUACAUCCAGCAACUUCAUAUGAACUAUGAAACCCUUGUUGCCACAAUAGUCCCUCUUUGUUUGAACUACUACAAGAAUAAAGAAAUUUCUUUCUAAUCUUUUGCAGAAGA